GCAUAUAGUAGUUUAGUAAGAAACUUUACUUUUGUAAUGUAAGAGAGGUCAAUAAGGGCCCUUAUGCU
rnacentral:tRNA from 1 species